GGGGGGCUGAUGGAGCACGCCGCGUGAGUGAUGAAGGGUUUCGGCUCGUAAGCUCUGUUGUUAGGAGAAGAACGCCUUUGAGAGUAACUGUUCACUGUGUGACGGUAUCUUACCAGAAAGGCACGGCUAACUACGUGCCAGCAGCCGCGGUAAUACGUAUGUGCCAAGCGUUAUCCGGAUUUAUUGGGCGUAAAGCGAGCGCAGACGGUUGCUUAAGUCUGAUGUGAAAGCCUUCGGCUCAACUGAAGAAUGGCUUCGGAAACCGGAUGACUUGAGUGCAGAAGAGGACAGUGGAACUACCAUGUGUAGCGGUGAAAAUG
rnacentral:rRNA from 1 species